rnacentral:rRNA from 1 species
GACGAACGCUGGCGGCGUGCUUAACACAGGCAAGUCGAACGGAAAGGCCCCUUUGGGGGUACUCGAGUGGCGAACGGGUGAGUAACACGUGAGUAACCUGCCCUUGACUUCGGGAUAACUUCAGGAAACUGGGGCUAAUACCGGAUAGGAAUCCUUGCUGCAUGGUGGGGGUUGGAAAGCUUCGGCGGGUUUGGAUGGACUCGCGGCUUAUCAGCUUGUUGGUGGGGUAGUGGCUUACCAAGGCUUUGACGGGUAGCCGGCCUGAGAGGGCGACCGGCCACAUUGGGACUGAGAUACGGCCCAGCCUCCUACGGGAGGCAGCAGUGGGGAAUAUUGCACAAUGGGCGGACGCCUGAUGCAGCAAAGCCGCGUGCGGGAUGAAGGCAUUCGGGUUGUACAACGCUUUCAGAAGGAGCGAAGCUUGUGGUGACGGUACCUGCAGAAGAAGCACCGGCUAACUACGUG